GUAACACUGUCGUUUUUUAUUGGUCGUCAUGAAAAAAAACAUAAGGGGCAACACUGUCGAUUUUUAUUGGUCGUCAUGAAAAAAAACAUAAGGGGUAACACUGUUGUUUUUUAUUGGUCGUCAUGAAAAAAAACAUACGGGGCAACACUGUCGUUUUUUAUUGGUCGCCAUGAAAAAAAACAUAAGGGGUAACACUGUCGAUAUUUAUCAAUUGAAACAUAGGGGGUAAUACUGUCGUUUUUAUCAAAUGAAGCAAGAGGGGUGAC
ensembl:lncRNA